AGAGUUUGAUCAUGGCUCAGGAUGAACGCUGGCGGCGUGCCUAACACAUGCAAGUCGAGCGAUUUACUUCGGUAAAGAGCGGCGGACGGGUGAGUAACGCGUGGGUAACCUGCCUCAUACACAUGGAUAACAUACCGAAAGGUAUGCUAAUACAGGAUAAUAUAAGAGAUUCACAUGGAUUUCUUAUCAAAGCUCCGGCGGUAUGAGAUGGACCCGCGUCUGAUUAGCUAGUUGGUAAGGUAAUGGCUUACCAAGGCGACGAUCAGUAGCCGACCUGAGAGGGUGAUCGGCCACAUUGGAACUGAGACACGGUCCAAACUCCUACGGGAGGCAGCAGUGGGGAAUAUUGCACAAUGGGCGAAAGCCUGAUGCCAGCAACGCCGCGUGAGUGAUGAAGGCCUUCGGGUCGUAAAACUCUGUCCUCAAGGAAGAUAAUGACGGUACUUGAGGAGGAAGCCCCGGCUAACUACGUGCCAGCAGCGGC
rnacentral:rRNA from 1 species